rnacentral:rRNA from 1 species
CCUACGGGAGGCAGCAGUGAGGAAUAUUGGUCAAUGGGCGAGAGCCUGAACCAGCCAAGUCGCGUGAAGGAUGACGGCCCUACGGGUUGUAAACUUCUUUUGUCAGGGAGCAAUUGGGUCCACGCGUGGGCUUAGCGAGAGUACCUGAAGAAAAAGCAUCGGCUAACUCCGUGCCAGCAGCCGCGGUAAUAAGGAGGAUGCGAGCGUUAUCCGGAUUUAUUGGGUUUAAAGGGUGCGUGGGCGGAAUAUCAAGUCAGCGGUAAAAAUUCGGGGCUCAACCCCGUCGUGCCGUUGAAACUGGUGUGCUUGAGUGGGCGAGAAGUAUGCGGAAUGCGUGGUGUAGCGGUGAAAUGCAUAGAUAUCACGCAGAACUCCGAUUGCGAAGGCAGCAUACCGGCGCCCAACUGACGCUGAAGCACGAAAGCGUGGGUAUCGAACAGGAUUAGAUACCCGAGUAGUC